GACGAACGCUGGCGGCGUGCUUAACACAUGCAAGUCGAACGGAAAGGCCCUGCUUUUGUGGGGUGCUCGAUUGGCGAACGGGUGAGUAACACGUGAGUAACCUGCCCUUGACUUUGGGAUAACUUCAGGAAACUGGGGCUAAUACCGGAUAGGAGCUCCUGCUGCAUGGUGGGGGUUGGAAAGUUUCGGCGGUUGGGGAUGGACUCGCGGCUUAUCAGCUUGUUGGUAAGGUAGUGGCUUACCAAGGCUUUGACGGGUAGCCUGCCUGAGAGGGUGGCCGGCCACACUGGACCGGAGACACGGUCGAGGCGCCUACGGGAGGAAGCGGUAGGGAAGCUUCCGCAAUGGGCGAAAGCCUGACGGAGCAACGCCGCGGGAGUGAUGAAGGGCUUCGGAUCGGAAAACGCUGGGAGUAGGGAAGAACAAAUGUGUAAGGAACGAUGCACGGCGUGACGGUAACUAAGCAGAAAGCCACGGCUAACUACGUG
rnacentral:rRNA from 1 species